CCUACGGGCGGCUGCAGUGGGGAAUCUUGCGCAAUGGGCGAAAGCCUGACGCAGCGAUGCCGCGUGCGGGAUGAAGGCCUUCGGGUCGUAAACCGCUUUCAGCAGGGACGAGGCCGCAAGGUGACGGUACCUGCAGAAGAAGCCCCGGCUAACUACGUGCCAGCAGCCGCGGUAAUACGUAGGGGGCGAGCGUUAUCCGGAUUCAUUGGGCGUAAAGCGCGCGUAGGCGGCCUGUUAGGUCAAGAGUUAAAUCCGGGGGCUCAACCCCCGUCCGCUCCUGAUACCGGCAGGCUUGAGUCUGGUAGGGGAAGGCGGAAUUCCAAGUGUAGCGGUGGAAUGCGCAGAUAUUUGGAAGAACACCGGUGGCGAAGGCGGCCUUCUGGGCCACGACUGACGCUGAGGCGCGAAAGCUAGGGGAGCAAACAGGAUUAGAUACCCUAGUAGUC
rnacentral:rRNA from 1 species